GUGCUUGGUUCUGCAGCACAUACACUAAAAGGGGAAGGAUACAGAGGAUUAACACAGUUCCUGUGCAAGGAUGACAGGCAAAUUUGUGAAGUGUUCCAUAUUUAA